GGCGAGUGAAGCGGCAACAGCUCAAAUUUGAAAUCUGGCGUCUUUGGCGUCCGAGUUGUAAUUUGCAGAGGGCGCUUUGGCAUUGGCAGCGGUCCAAGUUCCUUGGAACAGGACGUCACAGAGGGUGAGAAUCCCGUACGUGGUCGCUAGCCUUUACCGUGUAAAGCCCCUUCGACGAGUCGAGUUGUUUGGGAAUGCAGCUCUAAAUGGGAGGUAAAUUUCUUCUAAAGCUAAAUACUGGCCAGAGACCGAUAGCGCACAAGUAGAGUGAUCGAAAGAUGAAAAGCACUUUGGAAAGAGAGUUAAAAAGCACGUGAAAUUGUUGAAAGGGAAGCGCUUGCAGCCAGACUUGCCUGUAGUUGCUCAUCCAGGUUUCUACCUGGUGCACUCUUCUAUAGGCAGGCCAGCAUCAGUUUGGGCGGUUGGAUAAAGGUCUCUGUCAUGUACCUCUCUUCGGGGAGAACUUAUAGGGGAGACGACAUGCAACCAGCCUGGACUGAGGUCCGCGCAUCUGCUAGGAUGCUGGCGUAAUGGCUGUAAGCGGCCCGUCUUGAAACACGGACCAAGGAGUCUAACAUCUAUGCGAGUGUUUGGGUGUCAAGCCCGAGCGCGUAAUGAAAGUGAACGGAGGUGGGAACCUUUCGGGGUGCACCAUCGACCGAUCCUGAUGUCUUCGGAUGGAUUUGAGUAAGAGCAUAGCUGUUGGGACCCGAAAGAUGGUGAACUAUGCUUGAAUAGGGUGAAGCCAGAGGAAACUCUGGUGGAGGCUCGCAGCGGUUCUGACGUGCAAAUCGAUCGUCAAAUUUGGGCAUAGGGGCGAAAGACUAAUCGAACUAUCUAGUAGCUGGUUCCUGCCGAAGUUUCCCUCAGGAUAGCAGUAACGUUUUCAGUUUUAUGAGGUAAAGCGAAUGAUUAGAGGCCUGGGGGUUGAAACAACCUU
rnacentral:rRNA from 1 species